AGACGGGGCCCGCACAAGCAGUGGAGUAUGUGGUUUAAUUCGAAGCAACGCGAAGAACCUUUACCAGGGCUUGACAUCCCUUGAAGCAGCUAGAGAUAGCUGUGUCCUUCGGGACAAGGAGACAGGUGGUGCAUGGUUGUCGUCAGCUCGUGUCGUGAGAUGUUGGGUUAAGUCCCGCAACGAGCGCAACCCCUGUGGUUAGUUGCCAGCAAGUAGCGUUGGGCACUCUAGCCAGACUGCCGGUGAUAAAUCGGAGGAAGGUGGGGACGACGUCAAAUCAUCAUGCCCUUUAUGUCCUGGGCUACACACGUACUACAAUGGCCGUUACAACGGGAAGCGAAGGAGCAAUCCGGAGCAAAUCCCUUAAAGGCGGUCCCAGUUCAGAUUGUGGGCUGAAACUCGCCCACAUGAAGGCGGAAUUGCUAGUAAUUGCAGAUCAGCAUGCUGCAGUGAAUACGUUCCCGGGCCUU
rnacentral:rRNA from 1 species